rnacentral:rRNA from 1 species
UUGUUGGGUAGGGGAGCGUUCUGUAAGCCUGUGAAGGUGUACUGUGAGGUAUGCUGGAGGUAUCAGAAGUGCGAAUGCUGACAUAAGUAACGAUAAAGCGGGUGAAAAGCCCGCUCGCCGGAAGACCAAGGGUUCCUGUCCAACGUUAAUCGGGGCAGGGUGAGUCGACCCCUAAGGCGAGGCCGAAAGGCGUAGUCGAUGGGAAACAGGUUAAUAUUCCUGUACUUGGUGUUACUGCGAAGGGGGGACGGAGAAGGCUAUGUUGGCCGGGCGACGGUUGUCCCGGUUUAAGCGUGUAGGCUGGUUUUCCAGGCAAAUCCGGAAAAUCAAGGCUGAGGCGUGAUGACGAGGCACUACGGUGCUGAAGCAACAAAUGCCCUGCUUCCAGGAAAAGCCUCUAAGCAUCAGGUAACAUCAAAUCGUACCCCAAACCGACACAGGUGGUCAGGUAGAGAAUACCAAGGCGCUUGAGAGAACUCGGGUGAAGGAACUAGGCAAAAUGGUGCCGUAACUUCGGGAGAAGGCACGCUGAUAUGUAGGUGAAGCGACUU